ACUCACACUGAAAACUGCAUCAGGAUGAUGUUUCCAGUGACUCUGAUUGUCAUGUUGGGUUUUCUGACUCAGGAGUCUUCUGCCAACAACUUUCUGACUCAGACUGACAAAUCCAAGUCUGUUAGUCUCGGAGGGACUGUGACCAUCAGCGCCACAGGGAGUUCAGAUAUUGGUGCUGAUCUCAGUUGGUACCUUCAGAAACCUGGACAGGCUCCCAAACUUCUUAUAUACUGGGCAUCAACUCUAAACUCAGGAACUCCGUCUCGAUUCAGUGGCAGCAGAUCUGGUUCUCAGUACACUUUAACCAUCAGUGGUGUUCAGGAUGAAGAUGUUGCAGAUUAUUACUGUCUUGGUGCUCAUGGUGAUGGAGAGUUCACACAGUGAUUUGUAGCCGUACAAAAACCUCCCUCAGUGUGACUGAAGUGAAACGGCCUGCUGCAGGUGCAGAGGGUUGGUGAAGAGACUGUGAUGAGGAUAACUGGUCCAGUGAACACAACACAAGAGUCAUCAAGCAGAACCACAAAGAAUCUAAAUAAAACUGAAACACACUCACACACGAUCUCCCACAUACAGUUUUAAACUUAUAUUCUUGUCAGUUUAUUCAGUCUCUUUAUGAGUAGGCUGGGAAAGUUAAAUUCAUGCUACACUACAGCCACUGAUAUUAAAUAUGUUUAAAAGUUUCUGUAAAAAUAGUUUCACGAAACAAUCUGAAAUGACAACAGACCAAAGAGAAAAAUCCUGUCGCCUGUACUAUCAGCUUUAAUAUAAUAUCAGGUAUGAUACUGAGAUGAUCAAGAAGUUAUUUUUCAUCAUGAAUAUAUUAUAAAAGAAACACAAAGACACUGACUCAUUAUAAUCCACAG